UACGUAGGGUGCAAGCGUUGUCCGGAAUUAUUGGGCGUAAAGAGCUCGUAGGCGGUCUGUCGCGUCUGCUGUGAAAACUCGGGGCUUAACCCCGGGCCUGCAGUGGGUACGGGCAGACUAGAGUGCGGUAGGGGAGACUGGAAUUCCUGGUGUAGCGGUGAAAUGCGUAGAUAUCUGGAGGAAUACCGGUGGCGAAGGCGGCAUCCUGGACCGACAUUGACGCUGAAGCGCGAAAGCUGGGGGAGCAAACGGG
rnacentral:rRNA from 1 species